rnacentral:rRNA from 1 species
AUUCCAGCUCCAAUAGCGUAUAUUAAAGUUGUUGCAGUUAAAAAGCUCGUAGUUGGAUUUCUGGCGGGAGUCCGGGUCGGCCUUAACGGGUUGCACUGUUGUGACGUCUCGCCGUUUCGAGGGGAAUGGGCUCGCUAUUAGGUUAGUGUGUUCGGGAACCUCGUCGUUUACUGUGAAAAAAUUAGAGUGUUCAAAGCAGGCCUUUGCUGUGAAUACAUUAGCAUGGAAUAAUAAGAUAGGACUGUAGUGCUAUUUUGUUGGUUUGCGUACUAUGGUAAUGAUUAAUAGGGAUAGUUGGGGGUAUUCAUAUUCAAUUGUCAGAGGUGAAAUUCUUGGAUUUAUGGAAGAUGAACUACUGCGAAAGCAUUUACCAAGGAUGUUUUCAUCG